CCUACGGGUGACAGCAGUCGAGAAUCAUUCACAAUGGGGGAAACCCUGAUGGUGCGACGCCGCGUGGGGGAAUGAAGGUCUUCGGAUUGUAAACCCCUGUCAUGUGGGAGCAAAUUAAAAAGAUAGUACCACAAGAGGAAGAGACGGCUAACUCUGUGCCAGCAGCCGCGGUAAUACAGAGGUCUCAAGCGUUGUUCGGAAUCACUGGGCGUAAAGCGUGCGUAGGCUGUUUCGUAAGUCGUGUGUGAAAGGUGCGGGCUCAACCCGCGGACGGCACAUGAUACUGCGAGACUAGAGUAAUGGAGGGGGAACCGGAAUUCUCGGUGUAGCAGUGAAAUGCGUAGAUAUCGAGAGGAACACUCGUGGCGAAGGCGGGUUCCUGGACAUUAACUGACGCUGAGGCACGAAGGCCAGGGGAGCGAAAGGGAUUAGAUACCCGUGUAGUC
rnacentral:rRNA from 1 species